rnacentral:tRNA from 1 species
GCCUUAGAAGUUUUAUAAUAAUUUGUUGCAGCCAAAGAGAUCAGAUUUAGUUCUGCUAAAGGCU